GCUGGGUGUGGUGGCUCAUGCCUGUAAUUCUAGUGAUUUGGGAGGCUGAGGCAGGAGAAUUGAAAGUUGGAGGCCAGCCUGGAGCAGCUUAGCAAGACUCUGUCUCAA
rnacentral:sRNA from 1 species